rnacentral:rRNA from 1 species
UGCCAGCCGCCGCGGUCAUACUUAAGGUGCAAGCGUUAAUCGGAAUCACUGGGCGUAAAGCGCUCGUAGGUGGCUUUGUAAGUCAGAUGUGAAAGCCCACGGCUCAACCGUGGAAUUGCAUUUGAUACUGCAUCGCUAGAGUAUAGGAGAGGGAAGUGGAAUUUCUGGUGUAGGAGUGAAAUCCGUAGAGAUCAGAAGGAACACCGGUGGCGAAGGCGACCUCCUGGACUAUUACUGAAACUGAGGAGAGCAAGCGGGGGGCGCAAACAGGAUGAGAUA